ensembl:piRNA 21ur-10995 ncRNA
UUAUUUCGGAAGUUAUUGAAU